AAUACAUGCAAGUCGUACGCACUGGCCCAACUGAUUGAUGGUGCUUGCACCGAUUGACGAUGGAUCACCAGUGAGUGGCGGACGGGUGAGUAACACGUAGGUAACCUGCCCCGGAGCGGGGGAUAACAUUUGGAAACAGAUGCUAAUACCGCAUAACAACAAAAGCCACAUGGCUUUUGUUUGAAAGAUGGCUUUGGCUAUCACUCUGGGAUGGACCUGCGGUGCAUUAGCUAGUUGGUAAGGUAACGGCUUACCAAGGCGAUGAUGCAUAGCCGAGUUGAGAGACUGAUCGGCCACAAUGGAACUGAGACACGGUCCAUACUCCUACGGGAGGCAGCAGUAGGGAAUCUUCCACAAUGGGCGCAAGCCUGAUGGAGCAACACCGCGUGAGUGAAGAAGGGUUUCGGCUCGUAAAGCUCUGUUGUUGGAGAAGAACGUGCGUGAGAGUAACUGUUCACGCAGUGACGGUAUCCAACCAGAAAGUCACGGCUAACUACGUGCCAGCAGCCGCGGUAAUACGUAGGUGGCAAGCGUUAUCCGGAUUUAUUGGGCGUAAAGCGAGCGCAGGCGGUUGCUUAGGUCUGAUGUGAAAGCCUUCGGCUUAACCGAAGAAGUGCAUCGGAAACCGGGCGACUUGAGUGCAGAAGAGGACAGUGGAACUCCAUGUGUAGCGGUGGAAUGCGUAGAUAUAUGGAAGAACACCAGUGGCGAAGGCGGCUGUCUGGUCUGCAACUGACGCUGAGGCUCGAAAGCAUGGGUAGCGAACAGGAUUAGAUACCCUGGUAGUCCAUGCCGUAAACGAUGAGUGCUAGGUGUUGGAGGGUUUCCGCCCUUCAGUGCCGGAGCUAACGCAUUAAGACUCCGCUGGGGAGUACGACCGCAGGUUGAAACU
rnacentral:rRNA from 2 species